GAAUAAUCUGAUGAUUGUUUUGAGAUUUUUUUAUCAUUAAUUUCUGACAAAACUAUGAGUGAGAUUACAGGAGUAGGGCGAAAACAUCGCAGGAAAUGCCGCCAGCGCCUCGCCCACCCGGCGCCGUUGCUGCUGUCCGGAAGCCUUACUUCUACUACGGCCACCGUCGUCCUUCCCAAAACCGCCCCGUAGUCUUUGGCGGUCUUUUCACAAACCGCAAAACCCUACCCUUCUCCGCAGCCGACCGCCGAUCUAAGCCACGCUCCCACCCCACUAUCGACUUCCGUAACUGGGACCCCGACCUCUCAUCUCCUUCUUCAUCCUCCUCCCUUCCAUCCCUCCCUGACUCCGAUCGACGCCUCUCCCCUCUUGCUCGCUUCAUUUGCGACUCUUUCCGUCGCCACCACCGGUGGUGCCCCGCGGUCCUGACUGAACUUAACAAACUCCGCCGCGUCACCCCCGAUCUUGUCGCCGAGGUACUGAAGUCGCGCCCUCUCCUUCCUCCUUCCCUCUCCACUCGAUUCUUUAACUGGGCCGGUCGCCAGAAGGGUUUCUCCCACACCUUUGCUUCUUAUAAUGCCCUCGCGUAUACCCUCUCGGCUGCUGGACUCUUUCGCGCCGCCGAUCAGGUCCCUGAGCUCAUGCUCGCGCAGGGAAAACCCCCAUCCGAGAAGCAGCUCGAGAUACUUGUCCGAUUCCACGCCGAUGCGCGCCGCCCGCUCCGGUUGUUUCAUAUGUACCGCAAGAUGAGAACCAGGUUUGGUGUUUCCCCUCGACGUACUUUUCUUUAUAAUCGCAUUAUCGAUGCACUGGUUAGCUGCGGCCGGUUGGAUUUGGCUCUUGAGGUCUACGAUGACCUCCGCUCUGAUGAUGGGCUCAAGGAGGACGCCGUUACUUUUACUAUAAUAUGUAAGGGUUUCUGCCGUGCUGGCCGGAUUGAUGAGCUUGUUGAUAUGAUUGGUCGGAUGCGCAGUGAGGUCUGCCGGCCGGAUGUGUUCGCGUACACAGCGAUGGUUAAAAUUUUGAUUUCCGAGGGCAAUGUGGAUGGUGGGCUUAGGGUUUGGGAUGAGAUGGUGAAAGAUGGGGUUGAGGCUGAUGUGAUGGCAUAUUCAACUUUGAUUGCUGGGCUUUGUAAGGCGGGGAGAAUGCAGAGGGGGAAGGAGUUGUUUAAGGAGAUGAAGAAGAAGGGGUUUUUGAUUGAACGCGCAGUGUAUGGUGCAUUGGUGGAGGGGUUUGUUGAUGGAGGGCAGGCGGAAUCUGGGGCUCAAAUUUUGAAAGAGAUGGUGGAUGAUGGGUAUCGUGCAGAUUUGGGGAUAUAUGAUUUGUUGAUUAAGGGUUACUGUGCUGAUGGGAAGGUUGAUAAGGCGUUAAAGAGUUUCCAAAUUGUAAUUAUGGAAGGGAUUGAGCCGGAGUUUUCAACGGUGUUGCCCUUAUUGAUUACUUAUGCAGAUGGACAUCAGAUGGAUAUGUUCUACCAGUUGGUUGAUCGUAUCAGUGAAUUGGGUUUGCCUAUUAUUGAUCAUUUGUCAAGCUUCUUCACUGCAUAUUUGGUGAAGGGAGGGAGGGAAAUGAAGGCUCUGAAGUUGUUUGAGGUGCUGAAAAGUAAAGGCUAUUGCAGUGUUGCAAUCUACAAUAUCCUUAUUGAUGCACUUCACAAGGUUAAGGAGGUGAAGAAGGCAUUGGUAUUGUUUGAAGAAUUAAAUGAUACAGAACACCUGAAACCAGAUUCAUGCACAUAUAGCCUUGUAAUUACUUGUAUUGCAGAGGAUGGAGAUGCUAGAGAGGCGUGCUCAUAUUUCAAUAGGAUGAAGGAAAAUUCUUGGACUCCUAGCGUUGCUGCAUAUAACUCCCUUGUGAGAGGACUUUGCAUGAUGGGGGAAAUCAAUGCAGCUAUGACCUUGGUUAAGGAUUGCUUGGGGAAUGUAACUAGUGGGCCUAUGGAGUUCAAGUACUCUUUAAGAGUUCUAGAUGCUUGUCGCUCAGGCAAACCAGAGAAAGUAAUUGAGGUUUUAAAUGAGAUGGUGGAAGAAGGUUACCCUCUGGAGGAUAUUAUAUACUGCACUGUCAUUCAUGGUUUCUGCAAAUAUGCUAGCUCAGGGGAAGCAAGAAAGGUGCUUGAGUUCAUGAAAAAAAGUAAGAGGCUUACUGAGGCUAAUUUCAUCAUUUAUGAGGAAAUGCUCAAUGAACAUUUGAAGAAGGAGACUGCUGGAUUAGUUAUCUCUGGGUUAAAGUUUUUUGGUUUGGAGAAAAAAUUGAAGUGGACUACUAGCUUGGAUGAUAUAUCCUAAGGCUUCUGUCAGGAAAUUCUUGACAUGCAGAUUCCCAUUGGAAUAUACAUUUCUGUAGUAAAUUUUCUUGGACAAAACUCUGAAGACAAGAAUUGGGUCUAUCUGUUCAGUAAGGCCCUCAACUUGGAUUACUCAGUCCGCAAUGCGGCUUUCGCCGAUGCAAAUCUUUUACCUUGAGCAACAAGCAAAAUUCUCCCAAAGUCCCAUCCGGCAUUCUAAUAGGAAACACUUGUAGAUCUCAAGUUCCUAUCAAUCUUCGGAAAACAUGGCACAGCAGAAGUUUCUUCUUUUAUCUCUUUGGAAGGCAAAACUCUUUGAGUUCUCUCAGCCAUGUUGAGGUGGUCAGAGAAGAGAAGAAUGCAAGUUGAAAAGUACACGGUUAACCUGAUGGUGAGAAAUUGACUAAACUAAUUGUUAUGCAUGAAAUCUAGUUGUGUUGAUCUAUCGGAUUGUUCUGUUGCCUCGGACUUCAAGUUUCUUGUGCUUGCUGGGGGUUAUCCCCUGCUCGAAAUUUUUUUUUUUCGUACAACUCUCUGGCAUUAUGUACCUGAGUGCCCUGACGUUAUUUUCCCGAGCGCCCCAGCGUCGAACGACAAAGAGCAUAGCGCCACAACACUUUAGAUUCGAAGCCGCAACGCUGCGAGUUUGAGUGUCGCAGUGUCAUCAAAUAGAGACUGCCCUAAACUGGCACCGCAGAGUUGCGAGACAGACCAGACAAAUUUCUUUCUCAUUUUUUCUCAAAGGUUGCAUCCCUUGAUAGUUAUAACUGGUGAGAGAUCUAUAUUUUUUUCUCUAAAUUUUCAUAGUGGAUUUCUUGAUGUGGUGUGACUUCGUGUUUUUUUCCCCUAUUUUAAGUGUUUUCAUGUUAAAUCCUUGUCAUUUACUUUCCGUUGUUUUUAAUUUCUUGCUUGUUUUGCUAUUGUGGUGUUUACUCAUCCCCAACACUAAUCAUAUAAUGAAGAAAUUACUAAUUAUUAUUUAACUAGUUCCUGCAACUAUGGGAAUCCGGCUAGGCUGAAAUUGCAGCUGGGCAAUUCGGUUUGAGCUGUAAAAGUGCAUUUGGGUUGCUCGAUAGCCUCUUUUUGUGGAUUUUGUUUUGUAUUAAUGGGUUAUUUGGUUGAAAGUAAAAUGAGUGUAAUGCAAAAUGAAUGCAGAUAUUUUAACUUUUUAGAUGUUUGCUUUGACACAAACGUAUUCUAAAAUCACUUGGUUAAGUAAAAAUACUCCAUUCAAGAGAAAAAGAAAUUCGCGAGCGCGGGCAAGAGAAAAAAGUCCAUUUCACGAUAGCAUUUCUUUCUCAAUUGUCACGAGAACCAUCGUGGUUUCUUCUCCAUUGUUGCAGAAACCAUCGUCGUUUCUUCCUCCAAGUUGAGAGCUUCGAUCAGAUAGCUUUUGAGCUUCUCUAUUUCGUCGUGGCUAUUAGACUUUUGUUGCUUCGCAUCAUGUAGAGUUUUGUUCGAGCCACUUCAUGGGCUCCUUGCUAUUUUGACUUCUCCCCUUUGACGACGUUUCCUUCCUGUCAGAUCGGAAGUCACCGAAGCAACUAUAGGAGCUCGCUCAUUGUGAAGGAAUUUGUCUUUCCCCCUUUUGCGUGCUUCUUUAGCCAAAUCCUGUCAAUCCGAGAAAUUUCAGGAUUUUUAGGGAUUUACGGCCCAAAGGGGAGACAGAGGAUUUAUCAUGUCGUUGGGUUUAGCGGGUGCUCAAAUCUCGUUAUUUCCUUAAGAUUUUUUGUUAAUUAUGUAGAACGAAGAAUCCCAGGAAGAGAAGCAGCUACUGCUCCCUUUCUCUCUGAGCAAUUAAGCUUUUAGACUUGGUUACGUUGCUUUCGUAAAGGCUAUGUCCGGAUGCCAGCAAAUUAUGUGUUUGUGUGGUAAGAAAUGAAGUUUACAUUAUCU